rnacentral:rRNA from 1 species
AUUGAACGCUGGCGGAAUGCUUUACACAUGCAAGUCGAACGGCAGCACGGACUUCGGUCUGGUGGCGAGUGGCGAACGGGUGAGUAAUGUAUCGGAACGUGCCCAGUCGUGGGGGAUAACGUCGUGAAAAGUACGCUAAUAACGCAUACGAUCUAUGGAUGAAAGCGGGGGAUCGCAAGACCUCGCGAGAGUGAAACGGCCGAUAUCAGAUUAGGUAGUUGGUGGGGUAAAGGCCCACCAAGCCAACGAUCUGUAGCUGGGCUGAGAGGACGACGAGCCACACGGGGACGGAGCCACGGUCCAGACUCCUACGGGAGGCAGCAGUGGGGAACUUAGGACAAUGGGCGAAAGCCUGAUCCAGCCAUUCCGCGUGCAGGAUGAAGGCCCUCGGGUUGUAAACUGCUUUUGGACAGAACGAAAAGGUUUCUACUAAUACUAGGAGCUCAUGACGGUACUGUAAGAAUAAGCACCGGCUAACUACGUGCCAGCCGCCGCAGUAA